ACGCUGGCGGCAGGCUUAACACAUGCAAGUCGAGCGGGGAAGGGUAGCUUGCUACCUAACCUAGCGGCGGACGGGUGAGUAAUGCUUAGGAAUCUGCCAUUUAGUGGGGGACAACAUUCCGAAAGGAAUGCUAAUACCGCAUACGUCCUACGGGAGAAAGCAGGGGAUCUUCGGACCUUGCGCUAAAUGAUGAGCCUAAGUCGGAUUAGCUAGUUGGUGGGGUAAAGGCCUACCAAGGCGACGAUCUGUAGCGGGUCUGAGAGGAUGAUCCGCCACACUGGGACUGAGACACGGCCCAGACUCCUACGGGAGGCAGCAGUGGGGAAUAUUGGACAAUGGGCGGAAGCCUGAUCCAGCCAUGCCGCGUGUGUGAAGAAGGCCUUAUGGUUGUAAAGCACUUUAAGCGAGGAGGAGGCUACCUAGAUUAAUACUCUAGGAUAGUGGACGUUACUCGCAGAAUAAGCACCGGCUAACUCUGUGCCAGCAGCCGCGGUAAUACAGAGGGUGCGAGCGUUAAUCGGAUUUACUGGGCGUAAAGCGUGCGUAGGCGGCUUUUUAAGUCGGAUGUGAAAUCCCCGAGCUUAACUUGGGAAUUGCAUUCGAUACUGGGAAGCUAGAGUAUGGGAGAGGAUGGUAGAAUUCCAGGUGUAGCGGUGAAAUGCGUAGAGAUCUGGAGGAAUACCGAUGGCGAAGGCAGCCAU
rnacentral:rRNA from 1 species